CCUAGGGAGUGAACCCAAGAACGACUCAUAUAUUAAUUAGACCCUCGCCUGAAGGAAGACAAUUAAUAUCUGACUAGCUACGAGAACACUUGGUAUACGACGGCCACUCUGACCCCCUGUCUGUUCCGACACUUGGGUGAAUCCCCAACUUCACUAAAAUUGUCCAAAGUCAUAUUUUACUCUCUUUUACCCCCAAAAUAGUUGCAAACACCUCCAAAACCUUCAAAUGAUUGCUCUAACACCUUAUAGAACUUUCAAAAGUUUUUAAACAAAAUUAUUCUUAUUCAAAAACUUUUCUUCACUCUCUCAUAAUUUUUUCCUACUAUUUUUUCCUUUGUACUUAUAAAAUAUUUGGUGAGAUAUUUACAAUGAAGAUUUUCUAACAAUAUACUAACAGUAAAAAAUAUUAUAUACUUAGUAAAAGAAAACAUGUUAUACAUAAAACUCAAGUAAGUAUUUGAUGUAAAAAAAGAACAUAAAAUCAAGUAUUCUAUAUCCUGUUCGAAUGUUAUAUAUUACUAGGAGCGUGGCCCCGCGCAAGCGCGGGAUAGUUGGUCUUAAACUUGUAUUUUGUGUUAGAAGAUAUGGUUGUUGAAAAAAAACAAAGUUUCUAUAAGAAAAGAAUAAGGAAUUGAGGAGAUGGUCGUUCAAAAAAAGUAUACGUAAGAGAUGAUAAGUGAAGUUAGAAACAUUAGUUAGGAGAUGGUAUAUUAUUCAUAGUGGAUGUCUAUUGUAUGAGUAGGCUUUUUGGAAGCUUUAAUUUGUUUGUUUUUUUUAGCCAGAGGUUUAAGAGGCGAUAACGCAUACUUUGAAAAAAAAACUGUUUGAGAAAAAAGAAACUUGAGAAGAAGCUGAUCGGAGCAUAAGUGGUCGUUUUUGGAACCCAUAAACAAACCAGAUGCUAUUUCUCUUAGUUUGAAGCGAGGGUGAGAGAUUGCUUUUUCCCUACUGCAAGUCCUGUAAAAAUGCAUUUGGGGCAUCCAUUAAUCUGUUAUUGGAUAAAAAACUCAUGAUUUAGUUUGAUGAUACGAUCCAUUAAACUGGACCUUAAAAUUUUGAGUACAACUAACUAUUGUAUUUACACAAUUUAAAUUAAACAAAUUAUCUCCAAUUUGUCCAAUUAGACGUAUUCUCUAAAAUAACCUGACAUGAGUCUGUAAACAUUUUCUACGUUGAAACAAUGUCGACAAUAGCAUCGUGUUGCUAUGUGAACAUGUAUUGAUACACUAAGUUAGAACAUGCUUAUUUUUCAGACGUUCUAUUUAUUUAAAAUCCAAGUAACUCUUUUCCCGGUGGGAGAUGGUUUGAAGAUAUUUCAAGACACAACCAAAGAUCAAAGUAGGGAAUACAUAAGAAAAUAUUUAUUUCAAAUGACACGAUAGCUAUAAGUGGAGAUGACAAUUCGGUCUUGAAACUAUCACUCAGGGGGCGUUUGGACUAUUUGGCUCGUCUUCAAAGCUGGGCAGUUUUGCUUCAUCAACUCCCAUUGCUCUUUUCGCCGCAUCAACCGUGUUGCUGGCAGAUGAUGUUGCUUGUCCAGCUUGGACAUCCACGACUGGAGCUUGGCUGCUGCUGCUACUCUGAGACACAAUUGUACAUGUAUGUUAUUUAAGAUCUGAACGGAAAAAAUUAUUAAGAACUUAGAUUACCCACCUCUGGCUGAGUGCCAAAGAAGAUAUCUCAGUGACUGCAGAGAUGGUGAAAAACGAUUCCUUGCCACUUAGCAGUUCAAUGCAGUUUGGUAGCUCCGGUCCUUCAUCACCUCUCAUCUGUAACAAUUUUAUAUGAUUGUUACAAUUAUAUAUAUGAUUCGAGGGUCAGAGAAAUCGUAACAAUUUUAAUAAUUUUAAUGUAAUGUGUUAGAGCAAAAACAAGCCUCCGCAAGAGCCAGAAUGUUUGCAUCUUUCUUGCUGAUCUCCCUGUCAAAGACCACAAAACGUGGCACUUCGUUGUCGUCGUCAACAGCCAGUUCAACGGAACCUGGAAAGAGAGUAGGUUAGCUGUGAACGUGUAUUUAAAUUAUGGUGUUCUUUUAGAUAUGAGACAUGAUUACCAUUAAUACCUGACUACUGACGUUCGGAGGAACGCAUCUGUUGUACCGGAGUGAAGUGUCGGAUUGGAGAAACACAAAUUUACAAAGUUUCCAAAGAGAAGAUUCUGUUUCUCAAUUUAUACGCCCAGCCCGUAAAAAAAACUUCAAUCAUGUAAACAAUCAAAACAUAAAACAUGAAGAUCAACAAUGUUCACAACUAAGCCAAAACUCAAGAAGCACAUGUUUUUUUACCUUUAGCGCUCCUUGCACUGAUUGAGCAACUUUUUCCACGACCGUUUCGUGGUAUUGGGUUCCCCUUUGAGAUGGUAGAUAAGAAAGCAAAAGCCAAGUCAUCCCUUGGUCCAUAAUUUUGUUCUUAUAUUAUGGGUUUGACAGUUGUCACUGAACUGCUAAUCAUGGUGAGCGUUUGGAGUCUCAGCAAUAUAACUUUAUAUAGCGAGGAUGGUCAUAUCGGUUCGGAAACGUGUUACAUAAUCAUUAUUGAUGGUCUGAGUAAAUAGGGGGAGAUGUAGAGAUUGGGGAAGAUAAAGAGUUCGUGUAAGGAGUUCAUGGUUUUGAAGGAAAUUGGAGGAGUAAAAGAACCCUAGAUCUCACUAAAGAGAAUAUCAGACGACAUCAAAACUUAUUUGGGCCACUACGGGGAUUUGUUUCAUGGGCUUGGCUUCAGCCUUAAAUCUAAAGAUAUAGGCGAAAGACUUAACGAAUAUAUCCACAUAUCAGUUAACAGAUUUAUUUAAGUUCGACUUUAUCUUUCUGGUGAAACCCACACUAUUUAAAAUAUAGACACGUGGAUAACUUUAGGAGAAGCAAAAGUGCCUCAUUAUAUAUGAACUGUAUCAAGAGCUUUGGAUUGGGCUGCGCGAUAGGUUUAAUGGGCUGCGACCAACACGGUUUCAAGUGAGGUUCGGGAUUGGGCUGCAAAAUGAGUCAAAUGGGCUGCGAAGGUGACUAUUUUUUUUUAAUUUCAAGCCCAAUCUGCCAGUGACAUGGCAGAAUGAUUGGUUGGGAAUAUUUUGCCUAGGUGGCACCCCUAAGAAGCCUCAAAAUUAAGCCCUUUUAUAUAGUGGGAUAAUAAAUAUUACUUAAAUACAAUAUAUUAUCUCUUAAUAUUUACUUACUGUAAAAAGAAGAGACGACUCUGCAUAUAUAUUUAUCAUUCUGUAUUGGUUACAACUAAACUAACAAUUAAAAUUACGAUAAAAAACAAAAUUAAAAAUUAAAAGUGUCUCAAUAUAAGUUACUCUAAAAGGAAGUUUAAAAUAUUCCACCCAUAAUACGGAAACAUAUAUACCUAAUUGUAUAAAUUAAGUUAACGAUCAAAUAGAUAUAACGUGACUCAUGAACCUAAUCUUUGAAAAGGUUUGUUUCCUAAAAGUAAAAGAAGAACAGCUAACCUAGUCAAGUUUGAAGUUAUUUCAUAUCUAUCUCCUUUUCUCCUGUGAUGUGGACUCUACACGAUUGAAUAGAACUUAUCGUUUGGUGGUUAUAUAAUGAUGAUUGGGAGAUUUGUUAAACACUCAUCCCGAGAUUUGUUAAACACUCAUCCCGCUAAAGAAUCUCAAGGAAAACGAAACACGAAUACUUUCUUCUUCUCAUAGAACGUGUUCUUCAAAGUUUCUCAUAUACUUGUCGAAUUGACGAAAAUAAAUUCCCCAUGUAACGAGUUCCAUCUGUUUCUCGUAGCUAUGAGAUAUUAGGUGCAAUUUCAUGUAUAACAUGUAAAAAUGUUAUAUGAAAAGGAGUAUGCUGACGUGUCCCAUGUAGAAAAUCUCUCAGUCAAACUCUAAAUAAAUGUGUUCAGACUAUGUAUUUUACAUUUUUUUAAUAUAAAACUCAUAUGCAUAAUUCUAAUAAAACUCACACUAUGUGGAUUUUUCAGUUUGAAUCAAAAUGGAUAACGAAUCGAAAG